GGAAGUACUGGCACCCUCAUGCUAUCCAUGCUAGCUUUAGGAUCCAUCACACUUUCCUGCAAACUCUGAUAUGUAUGUAUUAAAUGGUAAAAAGGAUUCUCUUAAACAUGUUAAGGGCUGGGGCUGGAAUUCAACUGCAUGAACCAUGGAAAUCAAUGCAUCUGCUCUUGUUGAAUGUGAGCGGGUUAUGAUAUUAAACAACAAUGUUCGAGAUCAUCUCAUGCUGGUCUGAUAGAGUUGCAGAGGAUGGACACUCGCUUGGCACGUAUAGAGGAUCAUUUAAGCAUUACUCCACCUCAGGGUGGAGCUGCAGAUGAAGAUGACGAUUGAAGCUGCACCAUUAGGAUCACUAUAUUAUUUGUGCAUGGAUUUGCUUGCAUUUUGUUCUUAAUCUGUGGAAUGUUGGAUGUUUAACUUGAUUUUACUUUUUCUGUUUUUUAAUUUACUAAAGACUUGUGCUUUUGCAGUGGUUUGUGAUUAUUGGCUGACAAGUUGUUGGAAAUAUUGCUUGGAUUAAAUGUUGUCUA